UACGAAGGGGGCUAGCGUUGCUCGGAAUCACUGGGCGUAAAGGGUGCGUAGGCGGGUCUUUUAAGUCAGGGGUGAAAUCCUGGAGCUCAACUCCAGAACUGCCUUUGAUACUGAAGAUCUUGAGUUCGGGAGAGGUGAGUGGAACUGCGAGUGUAGAGGUGAAAUGCGUAGAUAUCGGGAGGAACACCUGUGGCGAAGGCGGCCCCCUGGUUCGGA
rnacentral:rRNA from 1 species